rnacentral:rRNA from 1 species
UGAACGCUGGCGGCGUGCCUAAUACAUGCAAGUCGAGCGAACGGGCGAGAAGCUUGCUUCUCUGAUGUUAGCGGCGGACGGGUGAGUAACACGUGGAUAACCUACCUAUAAGACUGGGAUAACUUCGGGAAACCGGAGCUAAUACCGGAUGAUAUUUUGAACCGCAUGGUUCAAAAGUGAAAGACGGUCUUGCUGUCACUUAUAGAUGGAUCCGCGCUGCAUUAGCUAGUUGGUAAGGUAACGGCUUACCAAGGCAACGAUGCAUAGCCGACCUGAGAGGGUGAUCGGCCACACUGGAACUGAGACACGGUCCAGACUCCUACGGGAGGCAGCAGUAGGGAAUCUUCCGCAAUGGGCGAAAGCCUGACGGAGCAACGCCGCGUGAGUGAUGAAGGUCUUCGGAUCGUAAAACUCUGUUAUUAGGGAAGAACAUAUGUGUAAGUAACUGUGCACAUCUUGACGGUACCUAAUCAGAAAGCCACGGCUAACUACGUG